UGCAUAGUGACCCAGAAGGUGCUGGCUCCCCUCGAAGAGGCAGCUGCAGAACACAGAAGAGCCAGCAUCAGCUCCUCAGCCACCUGGGCCAUGACAAGCUUUCCAACAAGCAAGAGCUCCCUUUUAGCAUGGCCACUCUUUCGUGGCAUCAGAAAAUCAAAGGAUUGAGAGAGAUGGAACUCUUGCUUUCAGCUUUGUGGUGCCUAUACCUGGAACAGGACACAUGUCCCCCUUCUCUGUGAUGCUUACACCCUAAUGGUUCAGAUUCUAUGUAUUUAUUUGACAUGGAGAGAGCGAGUGAG